AGUGUUUACUGACAGCUAUGUGGUAUUAACCCCAGUUUGUUUUCUUUCAGGACGCCCCUGUGAAAUUAUGUGACUUUGGGUUUGCUAAAGUUGACCAAGGUGAUUUGAUGACACCCCAGUUUACCCCUUACUAUGUAGCACCUCAGGUACUGGAAGCGCAGAGACGGCACCAGAAGGAGAAGUCUGGCAUCAUACCUACCUCGCCAACACCCUACACUUACAACAAGGUAAAGGGAGAGGGGCUUAGCUCCUUCCCACUGGGAGAUGUUCAUGCUGCUGCUGCAGCUGGAAUACAGCAAGUGACCUGGGAUCCCAGUCUCUAAUCUGAUGAGACAGGAAGUUAUCCUCUGAUGACACUGAAGUGACAUGGUUGGCAGUCAUUUUAGACAAUAAAGGCCAUUUUUGAGACACUG
rnacentral:lncRNA from 1 species